UAGUCCACGCCGUAAACGAUGAGUGCUAGGUGUUGGGGGCUUCCACCCUCAGUGCUGAAGUUAACACAUUAAGCACUCCGCCUGGGGAGUACGACCGCAAGGUUGAAACUCAAAGGAAUUGACGGGGGCCCGCACAAGCAGUGGAGCAUGUGGUUUAAUUCGAAGCAACGCGAAGAACCUUACCAGGUCUUGACAUCCUCUGCCACUCCUAGAGAUAGGACGUUCCCCUUCGGGGGACAGAGUGACAGGUGGUGCAUGGUUGUCGUCAGCUCGUGUCGUGAGAUGUUGGGUUAAGUCCCGCAACGAGCGCAACCCUUGAUCUUAGUUGCCAGCAUUCAGUUGGGCACUCUAAGGUGACUGCCGGUGACAAACCGGUAGGAAGGUGGGGACGACGUCAAAUCAUCAUAGCCCCUUAUGACCUGGGCUACACACGUGCUACAAUGGACGGUACAAAGGGCAGCGACACCGCGAGGUGAAGUCGAAUCCCAUAAAGCCGUUACUCAGUUCGGAUUGU
rnacentral:rRNA from 1 species